rnacentral:tRNA from 1 species
UCUUUAGCUCAGACGGCAGAGCAGCAGACUUUUAAUCUGUGGGUCGCGGGUUCGAUUCCCUCAAGAC